rnacentral:rRNA from 1 species
AAGCGCCGGUAAGGUGAUAUGAACCGUUAUAACCGGCGAUACCCGAAUGGGGAAACCCAGUGUGAUUCGUCACACUAUCAUUAACUGAAUCCAUAGGUUAAUGAGGCGAACCGGGGGAACUGAAACAUCUAAGUACCCCGAGGAAAAGAAAUCAACCGAGAUUCCCCCAGUAGCGGCGAGCGAACGGGGAGGAGCCCAGAGCCUGAAUCAGCAUGUGUGUUAGUGGAAGCGUCUGGAAAGGCGCGCGAUACAGGGUGACAGCCCCGUACACAAAAGCGCAUGUGCUGUGAGCUCGAUGAGUAGGGCGGGACACGUGGUAUCCUGUCUGAAUAUGGGGGGACCAUCCUCCAAGGCUAAAUACUCCUGACUGACCGAUAGUGAACCAGUACCGUGAGGGAAAGGCGAAAAGAACCCCGGCGAGGGGAGUGAAAAAGAACCUGAAACCGUGUACGUACAAGCAGUGGGAGCACCCUUUGGGUGUGACUGCGUACCUUUUGUAUAAUGGGUCAGCGACUUAUAUUCUGUAGCAAGGUUAACCGAAUAGGGGAGC